GUUGGCUUAGAAGCAGCCAUCAUUUAAAGAAAGCGUAAUAGCUCACUGGUCGAGUCGGCCUGCGCGGAAGAUGUAACGGGGCUAAACCAUGCACCGAAGCUGCGGCAGCGACACUAUGUGUUGUUGGGUAGGGGAGCGUUCUGUAAGCCUGUGAAGGUGUGUCGUGAGGCAUGCUGGAGGUAUCAGAAGUGCGAAUGCUGACAUAAGUAACGAUAAAGCGGGUGAAAAGCCCGCUCGCCGGAAGACCAAGGGUUCCUGUCCAACGUUAAUCGGGGCAGGGUGAGUCGACCCCUAAGGCGAGGCCGAAAGGCGUAGUCGAUGGGAAACGGGUUAAUAUUCCCGUACUUGGUGUUACUGCGAAGGGGGGACGGAGAAGGCUAUGUUGGCCGGGCGACGGUUGUCCCGGUUUAAGCGUGUAGGUGUGUGUUCCAGGUAAAUCCGGUUCACUUUAACACUGAGGCGUGAUGACGAGGCACUACGGUGCUGAAGCAACAAAUGCCCUGCUUCCAGGAAAAGCCUCUAAGCAUCAGGUAACAUCAAAUCGUACCCCAAACCGACACAGGUGGUCAGGUAGAGAAUACCAAGGCGCUUGAGAGAACUCGGGUGAAGGAACUAGGCAAAAUGGUGCCGUAACUUCGGGAGAAGGCACGCUGACACGUAGGUGAAGUGAUUUACUCA
rnacentral:rRNA from 2 species